CCACCACCAAAAUACUUAAGAACUGCCUACGGGACACUGAGGCACCAACACAGUAUUCAGAGCAAACAUUAGGAAACAGAACAGUCCCAGUUCGUCAC